GCUGCCACCACUACCAGAGUCUUCCUUGCAAUGCGAGCUUCUUGCAUCAUGACUUCUAGAUUCCAAGUCUGCAAAGGGUACAUAUUACUGGGGAACCUGGGCCACAUGCUCGCGCCUAGAUCUAGAGAAAUUUGGGAAACAAUAAAUAUGUAUGCAGCAUUUUUAGCUUCUGUACUAGUUGAUAACAUGAGCUUCCACCAAGAAUCCUAAAGCAUGGAAGUCUUCAAAUAUGGAUGUGCUCCGAUGUUCUUUGGAAAAUAAGCCCUCACGAUUAAUAUCCC
rnacentral:lncRNA from 1 species